AUGCAUGUAUAACCUCCUGGUUUAUUGCGACAUACUCCAUUUUUACAUGGAUAUAAUUCCUUAUACUUUGCAUCCAACUUACGCAGCUUGCACUCGUCUAUAUCUGAAGAGUUUUCAAAUGGAGUAACAUAUAUUAAAAUAUAUGAAGAAAAAGAUCAUAACGGGGAACUACUUCAAUGUAUUAUGCAUGCUUAAAAAAUGUUGAACAGCUAGUUCCUUUGAAUAAAUACUUAACCUUGGCAGCCUUCGUGAAGAUAAGGAUUGCCCUCGUAGCCUUGGUUGCAGUUGCACAGGUAGCCUGGGCCAUUGCUUGCAUUCACACAAUAGCUGUUUGAACUGACACAGGCAUAGUCUGUAUGUGCUUUUGCCCCAUCUUUUGGACAUGAGCCGUCCCUUAUGGCCCAGUCAGCAACCACAGGAACACCUCUUGUGGCUCUUUCCUUUAUGAACGUAAGGUGCCCCGCAAGGUCCUCUUUGCUGAAGCUGUACCACCCAACCUCGACAAGCAUAGCAUAGAAGCACGGGUUGAAUUUCCACACACUGCUCCGGUUGGGCAGUACUGCUGCAAAAUCAGUGAGAUUGGGGGAUAUUGCGGUCUCACAGCAUCCCAAGCCAGCACAUGGCGCGUUUUCAGACGUGCUGUUGAGUCCUUGGCAGUAAGAGUAGCAGCCAGCUACAUACUGGUCAGAGUCAGAGUUGUUGUGCAUGUAGCCACCAAUGAGCCCCAGGGUGUUGCAGCCGAUGACCGUGAAGUGGUUCCGGGUGGUAGAGGGGAUGAAUGGCGUACUGUUCAGGUUGAAUCCAGUGGGGUGGUUAUCUGAUAUGAUGGUGUCUGAUGUGAAGCAGGUGUAGCUGACAUCGUUGUAAACACGCAUCAUGCCAUGCUCCAGGGAGAUGUUGAUGACCUCUACAGAUUCCGUAAUGUCACCAACCGUAGGCCGGGAUGGCUGGAAGGUGUUGUUGCAGGUCACAAUGAAGUAGGGGUUCCGGCUGCUCGCGGCACAGUGAUCACCGAUGCCGAAGGGGAUGAAGAUGAUGAGCACCAGGAAGAUCAUUGCUUCUUCCAUGGCUGGAGAGUGCGGGUGUCAAUGUCAGACUCGUUUGUGUGUCUAUUUUUUGGCAGAAUUUUUGGGGCCACACGAAACAACACUUGGAAUCCGACACCGAUGUCCAAAUCUGACACAGGUGCAGUGUCUAAGUCGGCAAAGAAAAAUAGGACACGGGUGUCUGGUUAACAACGGACUACUGGACAAGUAAAGGAUCAUAUAUGCAUUCAACUGCUUGGAGGAACAUAUAUGCAAUGGAAUCCAAUACCAUAUUUCCAUGAAUUUGGGGGUGUCUUCAUCACGUCGACGAUCAUGCAUUUGGGUUCGUCUGCUUAGUGGGAGCAAUCAAAAUUGAUCAUACAGAGGAGCAAAGAACUCAAAAGAAGCAUGCUGGUCGUUGGUUGGAUGGAAAUGGACCACAAAAGAGUAUUUUGCAGCAAACAGCGACCGGGGAGACCUGUGGAGUUGUGCGUGUAUGCGCCGCGACGACGGCACUGUCUCCCCGUCCACCGCGGGCUCCCCCCGCCGAAGACGGCGCCUCCCACCGUGCCCCGGCUGUACCUUGCCUACCCUACCUCCUAGCUACAUUGUCUUCAUACCAGUGGUUGUCCUCAUCGGCACUGGAGUGCAGUGCAGCUACGCUCCAUCAUCUGCCGCAGGCCGCAUGCUGCCAGUCUCCUGAUUGGCAAUUUAGCAUAGUGCCCAGAGAUCACAGACAGAUACAGCCAUACACUGUCACAGUCUCCUGAUUGGCAAUUCAGCAUUCACCACCACUGGAAUCGUCGGGAACAACCAAUAGCGACAGCCACUGCCCACUGAUCAGCAUGCACAAAUUGUUUAUCCUUAUUCUGCAUAUCAGCUAGAUUUGGCUUGCAAAUAGUAUAUAUUAGUUAUUAUACUUGUAAAGGAGCAAGACCUAUACAUUUCUUCAGUUCACCGUACCAGUUUCAGCCUGAUAUGAGUUUCCAGGUUGUAGAUUGUUGAGUCUGGAGAAGCCAGCACCGAUCUUAAGGUUUAUCUACGUGCAAGUUGUACGUGCUGGAUCUUCUUCGGCAGUUGCUAGCUACAGUUUGAGGCCUUGCCUUUGUCUUCCAAACUGGAAGCAAAACGCAAUUAUGGAUCAGCUUGCUGAGAGAGAUUUAGACGGCAAGGAAUUUGAAGAAAGGAUCAUAUCUGCAUGUCUUCUGCUGCUUGGAAGAAGAUAAUUUCACUAUAUUCCCAGAUAUUUUUUUAAUCCUUUUUAAAUUUUAUUUUAAAAAUAACCCACCGAACAAAUAUUUGUACAUCUAACGCUUUUGGUCGCGCGCCGGUGCUCGUGGCGCAACAAAAACAUGCUAUCGUGCCACAUGCAUUGGCGUGACAAUGUGCCACGCUAGAGCGCGCGGGAAGAGUCUGCCAGCGUAUAUUCCACGUGUCAACUUUGUCACGCCACUCCCACCGGCGUGACAAUGGUCUCACCUUAGACUUUGUAGUUUGGAGUUUUUUCAUUUGAAGUCAAUAAGAUGCUUAAAUAAUUAAUUUAAA